rnacentral:rRNA from 1 species
AAUUUUGGACAAUGGGGGAAACCCUGAUCCAGCCAUCCCGCGUGUAUGAUGAAUUACUUCGUGUUGUAAAGUACUUUUGGCUGACAAGAAAAGGUAUCUCAUAAUACGUGAUACUGCUGACGGUAUCUUCAGAAUAAGCACCGGCUAACUACGUGCCACCGGCCGCGGUAAUACGUAGGGUGCAAGCGUUAAUCGGAAUUACUGGGCGUAAAGCGUGUGUAGGCGGUUCGGAAAGAAAGAUGUGAAAUCCCAGGGCUCAACCUUGGAACUGCAUUAUUAGAUGCCGAGCUAGAGUAUGUCAGAGGGGGGUAGAAUUCCACGUGUAGCAGUGAAAUGCGUAGGUAUGUGGAGGAAUACCGAUGGCGAAGGCAGCCCCCUGGGAUAAUACUGACGCUCAGACACGAAAGCGUGGGGAGCAAACA